AGAGUUUGAUUCUGGCUCUGAACGAACGCUGGCAGCGUGGAUUAGGCAUGCAAGUCGAACGAGAAGCCGCUAUUUCAAUCUUCGGAGAGAAACGGUGGUGGAAAGUGGCGAAAGGGUGAGUAACGCGUGGGUAACCUACCUCCGAGUUUGGGACAACUCCUCGAAAGGGGGGCUAAUACCGGAUACGGUGCUCCGUCGCAUGGCGGAGACAUUAAAGGUGGGGAUUCUUCGGAAUCUGCCGCUUGGAGAUGGACCCGCGUACCAUCAGCUUGUUGGUGGGGUAACGGCCUACCAAGGCUUACGGUUAGCUGGUCUGAGAGGAUGGUCAGCCACACUGGGACUGAGACACUGCCCAGACUCCUACGGGAGGCUGCAGUCGAGGAUCAUUCGCAAUGCGCGAAAGCGUGACGAUGCGACGCUGCAUGGAGGAUGAAGGCCUUCGGGUUGUAAACUCCUGUCAUGAGGGAAAAGACAGCGGGCCGUUAAUACCGGUUCGCCUCGAUGGUACCUCAAGAGGAAGCCACGGCUAACUCUGUGCCAGCAGCCGCGGUAAUACAGAGGUGGCGAGCGUUGUUCGGAUUUACUGGGCGUAAAGCGUGCGUAGGUGGUUUUGUAUGUCGGGUGUGAAAUCCCAUGGCUCAACUGUGGAACUGCAUCCGAAACUGCGGGACUUGAGUGCAGGAGGGGAGAGCGGAAUUCUUGGUGUAGCGGUGAAAUGCGUUGAUAUCAAGAAGAACACCGGUGGCGAAGGCGGCUCUCUGGAAUGUUACUGACACUGAGGCACGAAAGCUGGGGGAGCAAACAGGAUUAGAUACCCUGGUAGUCCCAGCUGUAAACGGUGCACACUUGGUGUGGGGGGUAUUGACCCCCCCCGUGCCGGAGCUAACGCGUUAAGUGUGCCGCCUGGGGAGUACGGCCGCAAGGCUAAAACUCAAAGAGAUCGGGGGCCCGCACAAGCGGAGGAGCAUGUGGCUUAAUUCGAUGCAACGCGAAGAACCUUACCUGGGCUUGACAUGGUGACCCUUCGGGGGUGGGAGUGAAAGUUCCCUUUACACACACAGGUGCUGCAUGGCUGUCGUCAGUUCGUGCCGUGAGGUGUUGGGUUAAGUCCCGCAACGAACGCAACCCUUGUGUUUAGUUGCCACCGCAGGUGAUGAGCCUGCGAGCACUCUAGACAGACUGCCCGUACAAGCGGGAGGAAGGUGGGGAUGACGUCAAGUCAGUAUGGCCCUUACGCCCAGGGCUGCACACGUGCUACAAUGGUCGGUACAAUGGGAAGCAAGACCGCGAGGUGGAGCAAAUCCUGAAAGCCGGCGUAAGUUCGGAUUGGAGUCUGAAACUCGACUCCAUGAAGUCGGAUUCGCUAGUAACGGCGUAUCAGCUACGACGCCGUGAAUACGUUCCCGGGCCUUGUACACACCGCCCGUCACAUCAUGAAAGCCGUCUGCACCCGAAGUCGCUGAGCCAACCCGCAAGGGAGGUAAGUGCCGAAGGUGUGGGUGGUGAUUGGGAU
rnacentral:rRNA from 1 species